GCAUGUGUGGCAGAAUCCGGAUAAUGCAAAAGAUCUAAGCUCUUUAAAUGAAGGUUCAAAUCCUCCUCCAUGCU
rnacentral:tRNA from 1 species